ensembl:lncRNA
AGGAGAUAUAAGAAUAGAGAGAGCGCGACACACACACAUUACCCCUACACACAGCGACCGAUCCGACAUCGAAACACGGGGAAGACGCAAUCACCGAGACCCGGGUGAAGCCUCUCUCUGAUGGGUAUCCAGUCCACCCAGUCAUCUCUUCAGGGACAUUAGUAGCUCUGGACAUUCUGCUUACUGCGGACCAGGCACUAAAAAGAGGCAGGCGAGCCAGGAUCCUGAUAAGACUACUUCGGCGAGCAAACAGACCGUCAUCGCCAUCUGUUCUAUUGGUACUAUUUAAUGAAGCUGCCAGUUGAGGACUUGUGAGGCGUCUGUUUCUCAAACUAGACACUGUAAUGUACUUGUCCUCUUGCUCAGUUGUGCACCGGGGCCUCCCACUCCUCUUUCUAUUCUGGUUAGAGCCACUUUGCUCUGUUAUGUGAAGGGAGUAGUACACAGCGUUGUACGAGAUCUUCAGUUUCCUGGGAAUUUCUCGCAUGGAAUAGCC